GACAGAGGGUGCUAGCGUUGUUCGGAAUUACUGGGCGUAAAGGGCGCGUAGGCGGCUCGUUUAGUCGGGUGUGAAAUCCCGGGGCUCAACCCCGGAACUGCAUUCGAUACUGGCGGGCUAGAGACCGGAAGAGGCGAGUGGAAUUCCUGGUGUAGCGGUGAAAUGCGCAGAUAUCAGGAGGAACACCAAUUGCGAAGGCAGCUCGCUGGGACGUUACUGACGCUGAGACGCGAAAGCGUGGGGAGCAAACAGG
rnacentral:rRNA from 1 species